CCCUUAGACGUUCUGGGCCGCACGCGCGCUACACUGACCAGUGCAACAAGCAUCCGUCCUUGGCCGACAGGCCCGGGCAAUCUUUGAACGCUGGUCGUGAUGGGGAUAGACUUUUGCAAUUUUUGGUCUUCAACGAGGAGUUCCUAGUAAACGCAAGUCAUCAACUUGCAUUGAUUACGUCCCUACCCUUUGUACACACCGCCCGUCGCACCUACCGAUUGAAUGGUCCGGUGAAGCCUCCGGAUUGGCGCGCACCUCGGUGCCGCCGAGAAGUUGGCUAAACCUUACCAUUUAGAGGAAGGUGAAGUCGUAACA
rnacentral:rRNA from 1 species